rnacentral:rRNA from 1 species
GCUGGCGGCGUGCCUAUACAUGCAAGUCGAACGCUUCUUUCCUCCCGAGUGCUUGCACUCAAUUGGAAAGAGGAGUGGCGGACGGGUGAGUAACACGUGGGUAACCUACCCAUCAGAGGGGGAUAACACUUGGAAACAGGUGCUAAUACCGCAUAACAGUUUAUGCCGCAUGGCAUAAGAGUGAAAGGCGCUUUCGGGUGUCGCUGAUGGAUGGACCCGCGGUGCAUUAGCUAGUUGGUGAGGUAACGGCUCACCAAGGCCACGAUGCAUAGCCGACCUGAGAGGGUGAUCGGCCACACUGGGACUGAGACACGGCCCAGACUCCUACGGGAGGCAGCAGUAGGGAAUCUUCGGCAAUGGACGAAAGUCUGACCGAGCAACGCCGCGUGAGUGAAGAAGGUUUUCGGAUCGUAAAACUCUGUUGUUAGAGAAGAACAAGGACGUUAGUAACUGAACGUCCCCUGACGGUAUCUAACCAGAAAGCCACGGCUAACUACGUGCCAGCAGCCGCGGUAAUACGUAGGUGGCAAGCGUUGUCCGGAUUUAUUGGGCGUAAAGCGAGCGCAGGCGGUUUCUUAAGUCUGAUGUGAAAGCCCCCGGCUCAACCGGGGAGGGUCAUUGGAAACUGGGAGACUUGAGUGCAGAAGAGGAGAGUGGAAUUCCAUGUGUAGCGGUGAAAUGCGUAGAUAUAUGGAGGAACACCAGUGGCGAAGGCGGCUCUCUGGUCUGUAACUGACGCUGAGGCUCGAAAGCGUGGGGAGCAAC